rnacentral:rRNA from 1 species
CCUACGGGUGGCUGCAGUCGAGAAUCUUCGGCAAUGGACGAAAGUCUGACCGAGCGACGCCGCGUGCGGGAUGAAGGCCUUUGGGUUGUAAACCGCUGUCGUAGAGGAGCAAAGGUAUUGGGGUUCUCCCCUUUAUUUGAGUGAUUCUAGGAGGAAGGAGAGGCUAAGCUCGUGCCAGCAGCCGCGGUAAGACGAGCUCUCCAAACGUUAUUCGGUAUCACUGGGCUUAAAGAGUUCGUAGGCGGCUUUGUAGGUGAGGUGUGAAAGCCCACGGC